AUGCUACUGGAAUCUCCAUAUGUAGUUUCCAUUCAUCAACGAGGUCAUAGGGAUGUGAACUCAAAUGUCGAUGAGAAUAUAGCUGUUGAAGGAACCGUGUCAUCUUCUAGAGAUUUAGAUGACAUAAAAGGUGUUUCACGGCAUUCUUCUAGCAUGGAAGGCUCUGACCUUGCUAGAACAAUAUCUGGUAACACUUCAUUGGCAGAACAAGUAAUUAAACCAGCCCUUGUGAAGUUUGAGGUGCACGUGCCACCAAUAUGCAUGAUUGAUGGAGUGCAUGCUAAACAUUUCACUGGAGCUGGUGUGGUAAUACAUCAUUCUGACUCUCUUGGUCUGAUUGCUGUUGAUAGGAAUACAGUUGCUAUAUCUAUCUCUGAUAUAAUGGUUUCUUUUGCUGCAUAUCCCAUUGAAAUACCUGGACAGGUUAUUUUUCUGCAUCCUUUUCACUACUUUGCAUUGGUUGCAUAUGAUCCUUUGACACUAGGAGUUGGAGCAUCCGUUAUCCGGGCUUCUAAACUUCUUACUGAACCUGCCUUGCGCCGAGGAGAUUCUGUGUACCUAGUUCGUCUAAUUGAUAGUUUACAUGCUAAAUCAAGGAAAUCAAUCGUAACCAAUUGGCAAGCUAUUAAUAUUUGCUCAAGUGACUUCCCACGGUAUCAUGCAAUGAAUACGGAGGUCAUUGAGCUCGAUACUGAUUCUGAUAUCGAACUUUCGGGUGUAUUGACCGACGAGCAAGGGAGAGUUCAAGCACUAUGGGCAAGUAUUUCCAGCCAGCUCUUCGGUUGUGGCAAAGAAGGGGACCAUCAGUUUGUUGUAGGUAUACCAAUACACCUGAUAAGUCAAGUCCUUGAGAAGAUAAUCUCUGGUGCUCCUGGACCAUUUCGUCUUAUCAAUGGAAUUAGGAGACCAAUGCCAUUUGUCAGACUUCUGGAGGUGGAGAUUUAUCCAACUUUGCUAACAGAGGCAAGUAAUUAUGGAUUGAGCGAUAGAUGGGUGCAGGCUCUAGCUGAGAAGGACCCUGAGCGAAGACAAGUAUUGCAAAUUAUAGGUUGCUUUGCUGGAUCAAAAGCGGAAACUCUUUGUGAAGGGGAUAUGAUUCUUGCUAUCGAUAAGAAGCCUAUUACAUGCUUCCUUGACAUUGAGAAUGCUUGCCAAAAGCUGGACCAUUCGGUUGGUUCAGAUGGAAUGCUUAACAUGACAAUAUUUCGCCAGGGAAAAGAAAUAGACCUUAUGGUUGGAACAGAUGUAAGAGACGGUAAUGGUACAACACGUAUGGUGAACUGGUGUGGAUGCAUAGUUCAGAAUCCUCAUUCGGCUGUACGUGCACUUGGCUUCUUGCCAAAGGAAGGCCAUGGAGUUUAUGUUUCUAGAGGUUAUGCUGGAAGUCCCAUCCAUAGAUAUGGUCUCUACCCUCUCCAGUGGAUAGUUGAGGUUAACGGGCAACCAACUCCAGAUCUGGAAUCCUUCAUAGACACAGUGAAGGGAUUGGAAGAUGGUGAAUUUUGUAGGGUGAGGACCGUGAAGUUGACUGGAAAAUCUUGCGUCCUUGCUCUCAAACAGGACCUUCACUACUGGCCAACUUGGGAGCUCAACUUUGAGCCGGAGACUGCAACAUGGCAGAGGAGGACAAUAAAAACGUCGCGACGUGUGAUCCAUUCUACUGGUAACUACAUGGACUAG
rnacentral:rRNA from 1 species